rnacentral:misc_RNA from 1 species
UCCGGUUUGUCACCGGCAGUCUCAUUAGAGUGCCCAACUGAAUGUAGCAACUAAUGACAAGGGUUGCGCUCGUUACGGGACUUAACCCAACAUCUCACGACACGAGCUGACGACAACCAUGCACCACCGGUCACCGCUGUCCCCGAAGGGAAAGCUAUGUCUCCAUAGCGGUCAGCGGGAUGUCAAGACCUGGUAAGGUUCUUCGCGUUGCUUCGAAUUAAACCACAUGCUCCACCGCUUGUGCGGGCCCCCGUCAAUUCUUUUGAGUUUCAGCCUUGCGGCCGUACUCCCCAGGCGGAGUGCUUAAUGCGUUAACUGCGGCACCCAGGGGGUCAAUACCCCGGACACCUAGUGCACAUCGUUUACGGCGUGGACUAC